UACGGAGGGUGCGAGCGUUGUCCGGAAUCACUGGGCGUAAACGGUGCGUAGGCGGCUUGGUAAGUCACGUGUGAAAGGCCGGGGCUCAACACCGGAUCUGCAUGUGAGACUGCCUGGCUCGAGCACGGUAGAGGCGGGCGGAAUUCCUGGUGUAGCGGUGGAAUGCGUGGAUAUCAGGAAGAACACCGGUGGCGAAGGCGGCUCGCUGGGCCGUUGCUGACGCUGAGGCACGAAAGCGUGGGGAGCAAGCAGG
rnacentral:rRNA from 1 species